CUGGUCUAUUGGAAUGCGUUGCGUGGAUGAGUUGGUUGCGCGUCUUCGGUGGUAUUGAAGCCGGCUCCGUGCACGAAGUGACGCUUGGAGGGCGGAAUAUUCAUGGAGCUGCAGACACCGACAACGGGCGCCAGUAAACGAUACCGUUUUUCAUGGUGCUCACGCUGGACAGGAGCGACAACCUAGCAAGCCACAAGUCUGAUGCCUCAAGCCGUCACCACUUUUUUAUUUAUUCUUAAUCACAAGGAAUAAAUAUGGAAACAUGA